rnacentral:lncRNA from 1 species
GAGUUACCCUCCUUCUUCGCGACCGGAGAAGAUCGGCCUUCAAUCAACAGAGAAAACCCUAGGUCCAACACCGGAAACCCUAGGUUCUGAAAUUCACCGGAAUAAGGUCACAGACGUCGGAAGGUUACCCAAAACAUCCAUCAAGCGAAGAAAAAGUCACCGGAUAACACCACAACUCUAGGUACGAAAGUCGGAAACCCUAGAAUUUGAAGAGCUCGUCGGAACAAAGUCAGAGAUGUCGGAAAAUCACCCAAAAUAUCUACUGAUACAGGAUCAGAGCCUCAAACAGUCAGAAAAGUCCCAAUUAACCGAUUAACAUUCAUCGAAAAAAAAAUAUACGAACAAUAUUUUUUCUCAGAUAACCGAAGAAAAACUUCAACAAAAGCUUCAUCAAGUAUCGAUAACACAUAACAGAGAAAUCGGAAGAUUUUCCGGCUCUGAUACCAUGAAAACAUGAAGAUUUGAAGAUGAAAAUCAGAGAAGAUGAAGAUGAACAGUGAGAGAGAUAGAGAGAGAAACGGAAGCUUCUGGAGAAAGCCAGAAGACAAUGAAUAC